UACAGAGGGUGCGAGCGUUAAUCGGAAUUACUGGGCGUAAAGCGCACGUAGGUGGCGACGUAAGUCGGGUGUGAAAGCCCCGGGCUCAACCUGGGAAUUGCAUUCGAGACUGCAUUGCUGGAGUACGGAAGAGGAAGGCGGAAUUCCCGGUGUAGCGGUGAAAUGCGUAGAUAUCGGGAGGAACAUCAGUGGCGAAGGCGGCCUUCUGGUCCAGUACUGACGCUGAGACGCGAAAGCGUGGGGAGCAAACAGG
rnacentral:rRNA from 1 species